UUUAAUACAAAUGUAGAAGAAACUUUCAAGCGUAAAAGAACUUUCAAAUGUAAAGUUACAUUUUUUUAUGGCAUCUCGAAAUAAUGAAUGAAGAGUGACUAAUAGACAGAUCCUUCGAAUUAGAUAGUCUGUGAUUCAAAAUUAUGAUAAAGUCAAUGAUAAAUCUUUAAGUUUUACAUAGGUUAAUGUAAGUAUUAUUUUUUCUUGUAAUAAUUAUCUUUAAAGUUAUUUUAAUUAUAUAGGUUUUUUUUCUUUUUAAACUUAUUUGUUUAAUACUCCACAAUACUCAAAACUGCUACCUCAUCAGUUCAGCAAGAAAAAAAGAUCAUUUAAGAUUUCCCUUUCGAAGGACAAGGUUUAAGACUGUUUACCUGAUUCCUACGGCAAAAAAGAACUUUAAAAUGCUGUUGCCAAUAAUCUAAAGCCCACACCUGAUCUAAAAGAAGGUGAAUGACGUCAAGUGUUCGAACAGUCGAUUUUUGAAAAUUAACAAGUGGAUGAAGAUGUUUAA